ACUGGAGAAGCACAGGGACCACCCGUGACUGGAAGAGUGCUGGUGAGAGCAAGCAUGGAGUCUCUCCUGGUGCAUUCUCUACCAGACAUCAGAAGUUUCAGGGGAUCCAGUACCCUCUUGUACCUUCCAUGGGGACCAGGCAUAUAUGUAAUACACAUACAUGCUAUGAAAUUUGUCUCAGAGUUUCAAUUUUUUAAACUUUAAAGAUUCAUGUCAAACCCAUGUGGACCUGUGCAUUCCGAACCCGUCAUCAGUGUCUGCCCAAUGCUCUGCACCAGUGUCUUGAAGGGAAUGAAACCGGCUCAGCUGCCUCAGUGAUGGGUGCUGACCUCUUCAGCCUGUGGCCUCUGACAUCUUUACUCCUCAUACCACAGUGGAGGUGUCAAGUGUGGGUUGGAGUGCUAUUUGGUUUUUUUUCUUCCCUUUAUAUUAAUACACAUUUCUUAGAGAACUUGUAUUACACAUAGUGGUGACAAUUUACUACAAUAAAUUAUCUUUGUAGAGAUUUUAUAUCAUGAAAAAUAGAGGAUUUCUAAAAAUCAUCUGCAAACACAAGAAAAUACAUGUUUAUAAUAAUAA